rnacentral:rRNA from 1 species
UACGAAGGGGGCUAGCGUUGUUCGGAAUUACUGGGCGUAAAGCGUGCGCAGGCGGCUUUCCAAGUCAGUGGUGAAAGCCCGGAGCUCAACUCCGGAAAUGCCAUUGAAACUGUGAAGCUUGAGAACGAGAGAGGUGAGUGGAAUUCCCAGUGUAGAGGUGAAAUUCGUAGAUAUUGGGAAGAACACCAGUGGCUAAGGCGGCUCACUGGCUCGUAACUGACGCUCAUGCACGACAGCGUGGGGAUCAAACAGG